AUGAUCGUUCUCAUCCAUGAAAUGUUUCAUCAUAGCUUUGGCUGUUACUGGUCUAAAGCAACCAGGGAACAUUAUUCUCUGAUCACAUUUUAUUUUGUGAUUAUUUAUUUCUGUUUUCUUUUUUUCUUAGGCAAAAUGAGAGUCUUUGAAUGCAAACAGUGCAAAGCAGAACAGUGGAUCAGUUCUUGCAUGAAAUAUAUGUGCCAAAAUGGUAGCAAAGAAGAGAUUCAGAUUCCACUAAUGGAAAGUUUUGGAAUAGAAGGGAUUGAGAGACACUGCCAUAGUUUGCUUAAAAAUGAGACAGAGCAUUUUCAUUACUCCUGAAGGCUUUUAUUCAAGACAUACAAAAG
rnacentral:lncRNA from 1 species